GAGAGAGACAUGCGCGCAUAUCAAUAAGCGGAGGAAAAGAAACUAACAAGGAUUCCCUUAGUAACGGCGAGUGAAGCGGGAAGAGCUCAAAUUUGAAAUCUUCAAGGUACUACCUUGACGAAUUGUAGUUUAAAGAAGUGUUUUCUGUUGAAGUUUCGGUAAAAGUUCUUUGGAAUAGGACAUAAUAGAGGGUGAGAAUCCCGUAUUUGACCGUUAUUUUCCAGCUGUGUGAUACACUUUCAAAGAGUCGGAUUGUUUGGGAAUGCAGUCCAAAAUGGGUGGUAAAUUUCAUCUAAAGCUAAAUAUUGGCGAGAGACCGAUAGCGAACAAGUACCGUGAGGGAAAGAUGAAAAGAACUUUGAAAAGAGAGUUAAACAGUACGUGAAAUUGUCAAAAGGGAAGCGUUUGACACCAGUGUUGUUUAGUUGAAAAUCAAUUCAAUAGUUUUUGAUUCUAAGUAGUAUUGACUCCAUCAGCUUGCUGCUUUCUUCUCAGAAGUUAUUGAAUGCACUUUUCAGUUAACAAGUCAACAUCAAUUUCUUUUGUUGUAAAAGGGUAAGAGGAAGGUGGCUUACGCUUCGGCGUAAGUGUUUAUAGCCUUGUGCCUCUGCAAUCGGAGAGAUUGAGGUCUGCAGCGUAGAUCCUUCGGGGUUAGAUACAUUGGUGCUAAGCUAUAGCCUUGUAUAGACAACUUGUUGACUAUGCUCAGUCAUGUAGCUUACUCGCUGAUGCUAUUUUACCUACGCUUAGGAUGUUGAUCUGUAGUGCGUGCGC
rnacentral:rRNA from 1 species